UACAGAGGUCCCGAGCGUUGUUCGGAUUCACUGGGCGUAAAGGGUGCGUAGGUGGUGAGGUAAGUCGGAUGUGAAAUCUCCGAGCUCAACUCGGAAAUGGCAUUGGAAACUACCUUGCUCGAGGGUUGGAGGGGGACUGGAAUACUUGGUGUAGCAGUGAAAUGCGUAGAUACUCAGGAGGAACACCGAUGGCGAAGCAGGUCUCUGGGCCGAUACUGACGCUGAGGAGCGAAAGCGUGGGGAGCGAACAGG
rnacentral:rRNA from 1 species